rnacentral:rRNA from 1 species
CAGCCGCCGCGGUAACACCGGCAGCUCUAGUGGUAGCAAUUUUAUUGGGCCUAAAGCGUCCGUAGCCGGUUUAAUAAGUCUCUGGUGAAAUCCUGCAGCUUAACUGUGGGAAUUGCUGGAGAUACUAUUAGACUUGAGACCGGGAGAGGUUAGAGGUACUCCCAGGGUAGAGGUGAAAUUCUGUAAUCCUGGGAGGACCGCCUGUUGCGAAGGCGUCUAACUGGAACGGUUCUGACGGUGAGGGACGAAAGUUAGGGGCGCGAACCGGAUUAGAUACCCGGGUAGUCCUAAACUGUAAACGAUGCGGACUUGGUGUUGGGUGGCUUUGAGCUGCUUCAGUGCCGAAGGGAAGCUGUUAAGUCCGCCGCCUGGGAAGUACGGUCGCAAGACUGAAACUUAAGGAAUUGGCGGGGGAGCACCACAACGCGUGGAGCCUGCCGGUUUAAUUGGAUUCAACGCCGGACAUCUCACCAGAGGCGACAGCUGUAUGAUAGCCAGGUUGAUGACUUUGCUUGACUAGCUGAGUGGAGGUGCAUGG